rnacentral:rRNA from 1 species
UACGUAGGGUGCAAGCGUUGUCCGGAAUUAUUGGGCGUAAAGAGCUCGUAGGCGGUUCGUCACGUCGGCUGUGAAAUCCCGAGGCUCAACCUCGGGUCUGCAGUCGAUACGGGCGGACUGGAGUACUGCAGGGGAGACUGGAAUUCCUGGUGUAGCGGUGAAAUGCGCAGAUAUCAGGAGGAACACCGGUGGCGAAGGCGUGUCUCUGGGCAGUAACUGACGCUGAGGAGCGAAAGCGUGGGGAGCGAACAGG